AUAGCUGAUUGCACCAACAAAUAGUUGAUGCAAUAUUGACUCUGUCAAAUAAAAUUCUAGGUAGAAUUAUGAUAAUGACAUUGUCUGCCUAUAUGUCUUGACCAAAUUACGUGCCAGCAGUCGCGGUAAUACGUAGAAGACUAGUGUUAUUCAUCUUUAAUAGGUUUAAAGGGUACCUAGACGGUAAAUCAAGCCUUCACAGGGACUAAUUUACUAGAGUUACUUACGAGGGGGUAUUAAAGUACUGCAGGUGUAGAGAUGAAAUUCUGUCAUACCUCUUUUCAAAAGAAAAAUUAUGGCACAGGUAUAGGUGAAAGCAUCCCCUUAUGUGAUAACUGACGUUGAAGGACGAAGGCUUUGUGUCGCGAACAGGAUUAGAUACCCCAGUAGUCAAAGCAGAAAAUGAUGAAUGUCAUAGAUUAGAUAAAUAGUUUAUUCUAUAAAUGAAAAUGUAAGCAUUCCACCUCAAGAGUAAUUUGGCAACAUUGGAACUGAAAUCAUUAGACCGUUUCUGAAACCAGUAGUGAAGUAUGUUGUUUAAUUUGAUGAUCCGCAAAAAACCUUACCACAAUUUGAAUAUUUAUAUCCAUCUUUUUUUUUCGUAAAAAAAUAAAAAGGUAAUAUAUUUACAAGCGUUGCACGGCUGUCUUCAGUUAAUGUCGCGAGACUUUGGUUAGUUCCAUUAAAUUAACGUAAACCCUUACUUUAUUUUUAUAUGAAGUAGUUCCCCGCUAUAUUGGAUAUGAUAACAGGGACUA
rnacentral:rRNA from 1 species